UAAACGUGUAAGACGUAUGCGAGAAAUGGACCAUGAACAAUACUUUAAAUAUACAAGAAUGACACCGGCAGUAUUUGAUAAUUUGUUAAGCAUUGUUGGACCACAUCUGCAGAGACACAAGAAAAAAUCACAUAUUUCUCCAGCUGAGCGACUAACCUUAACAUUACAUUAUCUGGCCGAAGGAUGCUCUAUGCAAGAGAUUGCAACAAAUUUUUACAUGGGGAAAACGACUGUUCAUAUCAUAAUUAAGCAAACAUGCUCAGUUUUAUGGGAUGUGUUGUCACCCAUACAUUUAAAACCGCCAACUGGAACUGAAUUUGUAAAGAUUUCCAAAGGUUUUUAUCAAAGGUGGAACAUGCCUAAUUGCCUUGGUGCUUUAGAUGGCAAGCACAUUCAAAUUCAAGCUCCUGCACAUAGUGGCAGUGAUUUUUUUAAUUAUAAAAAAACUAGCAGUAUUGUUUUAAUGGCAGCAUGUGAUGCUUUUUACCGUUUUACGUUGGUUGAUGUUGGUGGUUAUGGCUCACAACAUGAUAGCAUUGUAUUCUCAGAAUCUGCAUUUGGUCAAGCCAUUUUAAAAAAUCAAAACGAUGUUCUUGAUUUACCCGAUGCUAAACAACUACCUGGAACUUCAGUUUCAUUACCUUUUUUUUUGUGGCAGAUCAGGCUUUUCCACUGCAUAAACGUAUUAUGCGACCCUAUCCAGGGGAACGACUAGGGGAAAAUAAAGAAAUAUUUAACUACAGGUUGUCCCGUGCUCGACGAACGAUUGAAAAUACAUUCGGUAUCCUGUCAGCACGUUGGAGAAUCUUUCGGCGACCGAUUGUCGCUAAUGUGACAACCUGUGAGGCUAUUGUUAAGGCAUGUGUUGUUCUUCACAAUUUCCUCCAAGUUAAAGAAGAGGACAUACCAAUGGGUAGCAGAAAGUAUUGUCCUACUGGAUUUGGAGACGAGGUAGAUAUAAAUGGGGGCCUGCGUCCGGGACAAUGGCGCAAUGAAUCAAACAUGUUACGUCCAGUUGGUCGGCUUGGUUCUAAUUUUUCAACCCGGAUUGUACGGCAAAAUCGAGAAUUAUUAACCGCCUACUUUGCCAGUGCACAAGGAAAAGUAAGCUGGCAAUAUGACCAUAUUGCAGAAGGCUCUCUGCCAAGUUAAAAUUGAACAAAUUAUACUAACAUUUUAUAUGCAUGCAUUGUAUUUUUUCUUAAUAUUGUUCCAUAUAAAUAUAUAUAGAAAUAAACCUAUGGUACUAAAAUACUUAUAUAUACAUCGA